GCCCAGGUGGCGAAAUUGGUAGACGCGUACGCUUGAGGGGCGUAUGGAGCAAUCCAUGGAGGUUCAAGUCCUCUCCUGGGCACCA
rnacentral:tRNA from 1 species